GUGGAUUGUUUUGCUAGAUGAUAAUCUUUGAUAUGGUAUGAGAAGAAGAAAAAGAAGAAGAAGAAGUUAUUCUUGAUGUUUUGUCUUGAAUAAGAAAGUUGACGAUGAAGUUGAUAAUUAUUCAUCAUGAUGAUGAUGAUUGUGGAAGCUUCAUGAAACCAUUAAGGUAACCUUUGUAAUUGAUAUAUAUAUAUAUAAGACAGUUUAGCUAAGUUUGUUUGUGUUAGUGGUGGUCCUGAUUUGUCCUCAAAAAAAUAAAUUCAUGGCUAUAAUUCUCCGGACCACACCCUACUACUCGCACGUUUGGCGGCUGAGAUUUCAUCCCCAUACACAAAUCUGCGGCUAGGGUGUGAUCUCAUGAAACAAGUCUCAUUAAUUUUACCUUAAAUGAAAUUUCAUUCAUUUGUGGCAUUUCCGUUUCGGAGUUAAAAACUAAAAUUUGGAAGGAGAGACGUAGAGAGAAAUAAGAGGCGAAACUAUUUGGUUUCUUCGUUGAGUUACGAGAUUUCCUUCAUGAUCAGUUUUUAUCGCUUUCCUGAUCACUAUGAGAAAAAUGUGAAGGCUUUGGUCCUGGCCAUGGCGCUGAUUACAAAACCAAAGGUUUUUGAAGGAUAAUCAUCAGGUACCAUCAAGUUCACUCUUGGUGGUUCUGAAUCUCGCGCCGAAGAUUGGGCUUAACCAACCUGAUAUCUACGGCCACGGUUCAAUCAGGAUUUACAUUUUAAAGGGAAAAUAAAGAAGUCGGCUACACUUGCUCAUUGCAAGUUUUUAUCUCAGAUGAUGAUCACUUUUUCCCAGUGAACUUUGAACCAAAAAAGAGACUGACGUUGAGGUGAAGAAAAAGAUAUAUAGACACUUGACGACACUAUCAUAAAUAAAACGAAAUGAAGGAAAACGGUAAGUAAAAUGGUCUUCUUCACUAACCCUUCAUAUGCCUCUGCUUAAUUAAGGUUUUUGUGGCCAGAUUUUAUUCAAUUAAUCACAAGGUUAAAAUAUUGUGACCCAAAAAAGCGAGAAGAGAUUUCUGGAGUCUUCCAAAAUCCAGCCAUGGAAAGGAAUCGAGAUCGAACAGUUGGCGAAACAAGUAACUUUUACAGAAGAACUUACAUCUAUUUAACCAAACAGAAUUAAUCCCUCCCGUGUCAUCCAACUCUCUUGGAAGCCAAUUUCAGGUACCCUUUAUAUCUUUAAGUGAACGAAAGCUUAUUUUGAUUAGAGAUAUCAAACUGUUGUGUACAUAAUGAAGUUACAUUCCAAUACAGUGUCGAUUAUAAAUUUUAUGUUGAACAGUAGUCUAAUACUAAACUGGAAAUAUACUACACUAGCUGUUAUGUGUACUGAUUUAUACUUAUUAUUGAAAAUAAAUCUAACCGAAAUUCAUAAUUUAAUGGUAAUUGUCUAAUCGAGUCACCCAGUUUUGCCAGUUCUGAUCUGUGUGGCGACAAUUCCAAGCUAAGUUAAUGUGGUGGUGAUAGUUAAGUAUUUUAUUAGAAUGUAUCACCACAUCGGUGUCAUUGGAUAUUUCGGAGUCAUGACGUAGAGGUAUGUGUUAACGCAGCUCCUUUGAAAAAUGUAUAGCUCAGAUGUCGAAACAAGUGGAAAAGCCGCAAAAGUCACUUCAUUUGAUUUUCUAAGAGAGGUUUAAACACUGAAGGCAAUCUAGAUCAAGAUAGAACUAUAACCCAAAAGUUUGUAAAAGCACAAAAUCUCUCAGAUUUUUUGAAUGAGUAGACACUGAUGUGUAAACGAUUCUUUUCACUUUUGGGUAUCUAUAUAUUGUAGACUAUUUCUUUUUUUUU